CGCAAAACGUUGAUGGAAGAUAAGUAAAUCGUAGUUUUCAUGACCAGAGAGAGAUGGAAUUGCUGGAACCAUCUUCAUGACGAUUCGAUUGAAGCUCCUUCCGGAGUCGAGUGCAAACACUUGCGGGUAAUCUCCGUUAACGGAUUUUUCGAGGUAAAGGGAGCAAUUGUCUUUACGAACGAGGGUGGUACCACGAGAGCGAUGCUUUCGUCCCUUUU
rnacentral:ncRNA from 1 species